AACCUCCUUUUCCCGUUUCCACGAUCCACUCUGUAGCAAGCAAUCACCCCCAAGGACCAUAUGCAAGCCUAUCCUGAGCCACUCUGGAUUGUAACACAAGAAAACUCUAGUCGCGUUCUCUUUCAGCCUAAGAUCGGUAACAAUUGGGCAAUUGGCUCUUAUCUUCAGCCUUCUCUCAUCAAUGUUCUGCAAAAUUUGGCACAUCAUGAGGAGCACCUCCUCGCACGCCUCCGUGCUCAUGUACUUGCCCAUCCUCUGCUUCACAUCCUCCAAGCUGCACACCUCCCUAAGGGACUCCCUUAA
rnacentral:rRNA from 1 species